rnacentral:sRNA from 2 species
GAGCUUAGCGGCUAGGGAUCCGGCACCGUCAUCGGUGCGCAGGACCGAGAGCUGCAGUCGGGGCGGGAGAAAUCCGCACCGAUGCACGGCGGGAUAAAAACCCGGGAGAU